AAGCAAAGGGGCCAGAAGAGUGUCGUCUUUGGUUGAGGUUGGCUAGAACAAACUCGAUCCUGCAGUUCUUUGUGCUGCGCAGAUUUGCCUCUGUUUUUGUGAUGGCCUGGAACAAGAUGCUACAUC
rnacentral:snoRNA from 1 species